GACGAACGCUGGCGGCGUGCUUAACACAUGCAAGUCGAACGUGAUUUUUGUGGAAAUUCUUUCGGGAAUGGAAAUGAAAUGAAAGUGGCGAACGGGUGAGUAACACGUGAGCAACCUACCUUACACAGGGGGAUAGCGGUGGGAAACGAGAAUUAAUACGCCUUGAAACCACAGAUUGGAAUGUAAUGGGGGUCAAAGAUUUAUCGGUGUAAGAAGGGCUCGCGUCUGAUUAGCUAGUUGGAAGGGUAAAGGCCUACCAAGGCGACGAUCAGUAGCCGGUCUGAGAGGAUGAACGGCCACAUUGGAACUGAGACACGGUCCAAACUCCUACGGGAGGCAGCAGUGGGGAAUAUUGCACAAUGGGGGGAACCCUGAUGCAGCGACGCCGCGUGAGCGAAGAAGGUUUUCGAAUCGUAAAGCUCUGUCCUAUGAGAAGAUAAUGACGGUAUCAUAGGAGGAAGCCCCGGCUAAAUACGUG
rnacentral:rRNA from 1 species